CUGUCCCACCCCAGCCCCACUCACUCCUCAAAUCACCACAGUGGCUCAUUUGGCCAACAGCAGGAUCUUUAGCCAGGUGAAGACUAGAAGAGGCUCAGGAUUGUCAUCUCCGUGCAGCGAUGAGCUGGAAGUGGAAGAGGGCAGAGCCUCUUGCUGGUGCUCUGGCAGGGCCCCCGCUCGGUCAAACCAGUGCUCUUUCUCUUUUGGACCUAUGUAUGUUGGUCUUGGUCUCCUAGAGCUGCCUCCACCAGAGGCUUCCAGCAAGGAUUUUUUUUCCUUCUCCUUGCUCUGCUCAUGAUCAUAAAAGUCACACACCCUCUCCUCUACCCUCGAACACUGGAAAAGCUGGAAAAGCACCUAUCUCUACGAGGCAACCUCAGACACUUUACCACCAUCUUAACUGUAUGGAGCCAAUAAAAGAAAAUGCUGUUGCUAUGCCCCCUUCCUGUAAUCCUAUCUUCUUUUUCUGUCCAUUUGGUUCUACAGGAAAAGAAGCUAAUAAUUCUCUGAACACAGAGGGCUGAAAUGAAAUUAAUUGGUGUUGUAGAGGGGACACAAAUAUAUCACCCUCUAGUUGUCCAGGGCAUUUCACGUUUGGAGGAAAGCCUUGGCUUCUGGGCUGGGAAACAGAAUGGAGAUUCUGGGAAAAGAGUUAAAGAUGUGAUCAGAAGAGGAGCAUUAUCCAAGCCCAAGUUAGAGCUAAAGGAGCUAGAGGUAAUGGGGUGAGGAAUAAACUAAGGAGAGCUUCCUCAUCCUAACCAGUUGUGCUACUCUAGAAUGUUACCCGGAUGGAUACCCUGAGGGGUGUGUAUGAGAGACAGGAAGAGAGACAGAGACACAGUGAGAGAGGAAUCCAAAUGACUAAGGAAAAGGAGGGAGCCUUUGUCGUCUCUGAUCAUUCAUACAUAGGCAAUAAGAAAGAAAUGCAAGUUUUAAUUCCAG
rnacentral:lncRNA from 1 species